UACCAGCUCUCCGAGUGGUAGGGAUGAUUAUUGGGCUUAAAGCGUCCGUAGCCGGCUUAGCAAGUCUCCUGUUAAACUCAGCGACUUAGUCGUUGAAUCGCGGGAGAUACUACUAGGCUAGGAGGCGGGAGAGGUCGACGGUACUUCCGGGGUAGGGGUGAAAUCCUAUAAUCCCGGGAGGACCACCAGUGGCGAAGGCUGUCGACUAGAACGCGCUCGACGGUGAGGGACGAAAGCUGGGGGAGCGAACCGGAUUAGAUACCCGGGUAGUCCCAGCUGUAAACGAUGCGGGCUAGGUGUUGGAAUGGCUACGUGCCAUUUCAGUGCCGCAGGGAAGCCAUUAAGCCCGCCGCCUGGGGAGUACGGCCGCAAGGCUGAAACUUAAAGGAAUUGGCGGGGAGCACCACAAGGCGUGAAGCUUGCGGUUC
rnacentral:rRNA from 1 species